rnacentral:snRNA from 1 species
GUGCUCACUUCAGCACAUAUGCUAAAAUUGGAAUGAUACAAAGAGGGAUUAGCAUGGCCCCUGCUCAAGGAUGACAGGCAAAUUCAUAGAAUUACUUUCAUUAUGA